CAGAAUAUAAUUCAAAUAGAAUGCUAGCUUUGGGGCUAGCUGUGGGAGUUAAAUUCUCCUUGUUCUGA
rnacentral:tRNA from 1 species